rnacentral:rRNA from 1 species
GAACGCUGGCGGCGUGCCUAAUACAUGCAAGUAGAACGCUUAAGAGAGGAGCUUGCUCUUCUUGGAUGAGUUGCGAACGGGUGAGUAACGCGUAGGUAACCUGCCUUGUAGCGGGGGAUAACUAUUGGAAACGAUAGCUAAUACCGCAUAACAAUGGAUGACACAUGUCAUUUAUUUGAAAGGGGCAAUUGUUCCACUACAAGAUGGACCUGCGUUGUAUUAGCUAGUAGGUGAGGUAAUGGCUCACCUAGGCGACGAUACAUAGCCGACCUGAGAGGGUGAUCGGCCACACUGGGACUGAGACACGGCCCAGACUCCUACGGGAGGCAGCAGUAGGGAAUCUUCGGCAAUGGGGGCAACCCUGACCGAGCAACGCCGCGUGAGUGAAGAAGGUUUUCGGAUCGUAAAGCUCUGUUGUAAGUCAAGAACGGGUGUGAGAGUGGAAAGUUCACACUAUGACGGUAGCUUACCAGAAAGGGACGGCUAACUACGUGCCAGCAGCCGCGGUAAUACGUAGGUCCCGAGCGUUGUCCGGAUUUAUUGGGCGUAAAGCGAGCGCAGGCGGUUUGAUAAGUCUGAAGUUAAAGGCUGUGGCUCAACCAUAGUUCGCUUUGGAAACUGUCAAACUUGAGUGCAGAAGGGGAGAGUGGAAUUCCAUGUGUAGCGGUGAAAUGCGUAGAUAUAUGGAGGAACACCGGUGGCGAAAGCGGCUCUCUGGUCUGUAACUGACGCUGAGGCUCGAAAGCGUGGGGAGCGAACAGGAUUAGAUACCCUGGUAGUCCACGCCGUAAACGAUGAGUGCUAGGUGUUGGAUCCUUUCCGGGAUUCAGUGCCGCAGCUAACGCAUUAAGCACUCCGCCUGGGGAGUACGACCGCAAGGUUGAAACUCAAAGGAAUUGACGGGGGCCCGCACAAGCGGUGGAGCAUGUGGUUUAAUUCGAAGCAACGCGAAGAACCUUACCAGGUCUUGACAUCCCGAUGCUAUUUCUAGAGAUAGAAAGUUACUUCGGUACAUCGGUGACAGGUGGUGCAUGGUUGUCGUCAGCUCGUGUCGUGAGAUGUUGGGUUAAGUCCCGCAACGAGCGCAACCCCUAUUGUUAGUUGCCAUCAUUCAGUUGGGCACUCUAGCGAGACUGCCGGUAAUAAACCGGAGGAAGGUGGGGAUGACGUCAAAUCAUCAUGCCCCUUAUGACCUGGGCUACACACGUGCUACAAUGGUUGGUACAACGAGUUGCGAGUCGGUGACGGCGAGCUAAUCUCUUAAAGCCAAUCUCAGUUCGGAUUGUAGGCUGCAACUCGCCUACAUGAAGUCGGAAUCGCUAGUAAUCGCGGAUCAGCACGCCGCGGUGAAUACGUUCCCGGGCCUUGUACACACCGCCCGUCACACCACGAGAGUUUGUAACACCCGAAGUCGGUGAGGUAACCUUUUGGAGCCAGCCGCCUAAGGUGGGACAGAUGAUUGGGGUGAAGU